rnacentral:misc_RNA from 1 species
GAGCAUAAAACUUGGAUUAUAAUUAAGAGUUAUUCUAUACAGAGGGAAUUAAGUGAAAAAGAAAACCUGGAUUAUACAAUAGCAAGAACAACUGACUUGUAUUCUACUAUCAUUGUUAAUUACCCUCACAGAAACCCAAUUUUUUACAUUUGAAACAGAGACCAGAGUUCAAGCAAGGUUUAGUAUUGCAGCUGGCUGCAUUUUCUAUACCAAAGUAUCUUCCUUAAUCAGUAUUAUCAUGAACCACCAACACUCCCAAUUCUUCACUACCACCAAAACUCUAUCAAUUUGCCACCAUCAAUAUGCACUUUCCUUUAGAUUAGUUAAAGAUCUAUACAUCAUAUACUGGUAACCUUUCUUCGAUAACCACGCGACAUAUUGGGCACUUUUUACACUUCUCA